GAUGAACGCUGGCGGCGUGCCUAAUACAUGCAAGUCGAGCGAGCGGCGGACGGGUGAGUAACACGUGAUAACCUACCUAUAUGACUGGGAUAACUUCGGGAAAACGGUGCUAAUACCGGAUACCAAUAGAUGGAUCCGCUCUGCAUUAGCUAGUAGGUAAGGUAACGGCUUACCAAGGCAACGAUGCAUAGCCGAUCUGAGAGGAUGAUCAGCCACACUGGAACUGAGACACGGUCCAGACUCCUACGGGAGGCAGCAGUGGGGAAUAUUGCACAAUGGGCGCAAGCCUGAUGCAGCCAUGCCGCGUGUAUGAAGAAGGCCUUCGGGUUGUAAAGUACUUUCAGCGGGGAGGCGUUACCCGCAGAAGAAGCACCGGCUAACUCCGUGCCAGCCGCCGCGGUAAUUC
rnacentral:rRNA from 1 species